GGCCCGUUGGUCAAGUGGUUAAGACACCGCCCUUUCACAGCGGUAACACUGGUUCAAAUCCGGUACGGGCUACCA
rnacentral:tRNA from 2 species